ensembl:vault_RNA Vault Vault RNA
GCACUGGUUUAGCUCAGAGGUUACUUCGACCAUCAAUCCUCUCUGAAGGAUUCGCUGAUCUCCAUCCCUCCCCGGGCUCGAACCUCGGGCGCUGUCCAGUGUUUUU